rnacentral:lncRNA from 1 species
UAGUAUGUAAGAGAGAGUGGAAUAAAUGAAAUUGUAAACCCCCAACAACAUCCAUUCAUCCAUUGUUUUCGUUUGUCAAUUGAAUCAACUUUAUUUUUGCAUGUUAAUAUUUUUGUUCUCAAAUCCAAUUUAUUAAUUUUUAUUUUUCAAGUCUUAUUAUUUUAAUUCACGCGAACGAGAAAGCCAUACGAGUCUCUUGGGAAAACGAUACUUGGUCUUAUCAUUUAUAUUACUUGUACGAUUUGGUACACUUGCCAA